AUUUCUUCACUUGUUAGGGUUUUUUUUAUCAGAUUCUCCCAAUUUCUCUCAAUUUCGUUCAAAAUGACUCAAGAUCUUGAGAUGAAAGAUCGUUCAACUCCUUCCAACUCCGUUUCUCCACCGAUUCCAUCUACUUUGCAGCAUUUGAAGGAGAUAGCAACGCUCAUCGAGACCGGUUCGUACUCUAAGUUCAUAACAUAAAAACUCGUUACUGGCCAUGAUUUACACGUAUACCACAUGGUACAGUGGCUCGUCUAGCCUUACCCAGAAGAAAAAGAAGACUCGGAUUUUGACGAUUGGAUGAACUGUUUUCUCAUAGCGCGGUAUUUGAUAAGUUAAGAAGGCCAAAGCUUGUUCCUCAGCUAGCGUUGCUUGGCUGAAGAAUGUGAACAGAAGAACUGUGGAUGUUAUUGCAUCGAACGCGCGAAUCCAAAACCGAUGAAGCCCUUUGGAUUCCAAGAUUACUUUUAAUGUUAAACACCAAUUGCGAAUGGAAGAUCGAAUUUGGAUCCAACUCCAAUCCGGCUCAGAAUUCCGGUGCGGUGGAUUUUCAGAGAAUCGCAG